CGCAAGUGCCGAUUUCUGUUCCAUCCACACGUUAUUUCGGUGCUUCUAACGCUGUUUUUCAGAGUUACACAAAGCUCUCAAAGCUGGGAUUUCUCAGAGGUUUGCAGCUUGGUAGACUUGCACACAUGCUGCGGACGACGCUUCUAAAAUACAGCCCUUCCUUUCCAUGUAUUCACUGUUCUAUGCUAUUCUUUACAAAAUGUCCCAGGAAAAGCACUGAACUCUGUGUCACCUCUUCAGGCAAUCACUCCUCACAACCUCGAAGUAUUUCGAUAGAAUCACAGAAUCACCAAGGUUGGAAAAGACCUACAAGAUCACCCAGUCCAACCGUCCACCUAUCGCUUAGUGAGGAAACAAUACGGGAAUGUUCACUGAUGUGUGUAUAAAUAGUGAGUACUCCCGUAUGAGCACUCGCAUAUUUUGGUUCGCUUUAAAACUGAAGCAACACUUGUAGCUACAGUUCCAGGGAGAGCACGUAGGCCCUGUGCUGAGAAUGCUUGGAGGCACCAUCAGAGAGCAGCAGAGCUCCACGGAAAACGCUUCCACUGGCGCAGGUGGUGGUUGAUGCAGGCGGAGAGGCUCCAUACCUUUUGGCACCGUGUGCUCUGGCAGCAGAUACUGUUUUCCAGCACUGCGAAAAGCAGCGCGCCGCUCUCUUGCUUACCAGCAUCACUCAAGGCUUCACCUGUUUGACAGAGAUAAUAGCAGCUCCUGUCAGCGAAGCACUCCUGGCUCGUGGAGGAGUUUACUCCUGUUCUACCUUCUCUGGAGGGAAAUUUUACUUUGAGAAAGGACCGGAUUCUUCCUGUCAUCCCCGCCAGCCUCUGUUUUAUUUUUUGCGUGAUGAGAGGACAAAGAGAAUCCGCUCUAGUUCAGAUUUCCGUGGAAAGAGCUCUGUCCCCUACACUUCACUGAUUUCCUUUUGUUUGGGAGCAAAGAGUUAUUUUCAACAGUUUCAGUUGAUUGGAAACCAUUUUGGCAUGGGGCUGAGAAUAUAGACUGCGAGCUGGAACCUGAGAGCCAGGCUCUGGUCUGCGGAUCCAAGGAGAGAAGAAAGGAAUUAGUUUGCUCCCCGAUGCAGGAGCUGCUUGGGAAUUCUUCUGACUCUCGGUUUAAAUCAGCUCCACGAGGCAGAGCUGCUGCUCCCCUGGCCAGCCAAUAUCCCCACGCUCCUUUUCCCUGUGUCAGCAUCACAGCAAGGUCGGGAGCACGUGGGUGGUGUGGGGUCAGUGUGCCUUCAUGUCAGUGCUCCCAGGGAUAAGGAACAGCAUCAUUUCUUCUUCUGAGAGAGCAGUCUAGGAGAUUUGCUUGUUUGUAAGCUGUGUGGGACAUACCCCAUUUCGUUUGUUGCGUGGAAGGCUAAGCCAAUCAAUCAGGCAUUGCAGAACCUCUUUGAGCCAUUUACCUGUUCAUUACACUUUUUUUCUUUUCAGUGCAGAUUUCAACCUGAGAAAAAACACGGUCUUCUAACAAGGAAUAAACCUAAAGCUGAAAAACAA